GAUGAACGCUGGCGGCGUGCUUAACACAUGCAAGUCGAACGGAAAGGCCCUGCUUUUGUGGGGUGCUCGAGUGGCGAACGGGGGAGUGACACGUGAGUAACCUGCCCUUGUCUUUGGGAGAAAUUCAGGAAACUGGGGCGAAUACCGGAGAUGAUCUCCUGCUGCAUGGUGGGGGUUGGAAAGUUUCGGCGGUGUGGGAUGGACUCGCGGCUUAUCAGCUUGUUGGUGGGGUAGUGGCGUACCAAGGCUUUGACGGGUAGCCGGCCUGAGAGGGUGACCGGCCACAUUGGGACUGCGAUACGGCCCAGUCUCCUACGGGAGGCAGCAGUGGGAAAUAUUGCACAGUGGGCGGACGCCUGAUACAGCAACGUCGCGUGCGGGAUGACGGCCUUCGGGUUGUAAACCGCUUUCGCCUGUGACGAAGCGUGAGUGACGGUAAUGGGUAAAGAAGCACCGGCUAACUACGUG
rnacentral:rRNA from 1 species